rnacentral:rRNA from 1 species
CUGGCGGCGUACUAACACAUGCAAGUCGAACGAGAAAGUGGAGCAAUCCAUGAGUAAAGUGGCGACCGGGUGAGUAACACGUGACUAACCUACCCUAGAGUGGGGGAUAACCUCGGGAAACCGGGGCUAAUACCGCAUAACAUCGCGAGGUGAAAUUCCUUGUGAUCAAAGGAGCAAUUCGCUCAAGGAGGGGGUCGCGGCUGAUUAGCCAGUUGGUGGGGUAACGGCCUACCAAAGCAAAGAUCAGUAGCCGGCCUGAGAGGGCGCACGGCCACACUGGAACUGAAACACGGUCCAGACUCCUACGGGAGGCAGCAGUGGGGAAUUUUGCGCAAUGGGGGAAACCCUGACGCAGCAACGCCGCGUGGAGGAUGAAGUCCCUUGGGAUGUAAACUCCUUUCGAUCGGGAAGAUAAUGACGGUACCGGAAGAAGAAGCACCGGCUAACUCUGUGCCAGCAGCCGCGGUAAUACAGAGGGUGCAAGCGUUGUUCGGAAUUAUUGGGCGUAAAGGGCGCGUAUGCGGUGCGGUAAGUCUGUANUGAAAUCUCUGGGCUCAACUCA